rnacentral:tRNA from 1 species
GCCCGGGUGGCGAAAUCGGUAGACGCAGCGGACUUAAAAUCCGCCGAACCCUAAUAGGUUCGUGCCGGUUCGAGUCCGGCUCCGGGCACCA